rnacentral:lncRNA from 1 species
GUAGGGUGGGGGCACCCUCAGCCCUGUGGGAGCACCCUGGAGCGAGCAGGGGCCUGGAGCCUGGGCCCUGGGCCUGGGUCCCAGCCCUGCCUCAUUCUUGCUGAGUGACCAGGGACACUUCACUCCCUGUCUCUGGAAACAGCUUCUUUGCUAGUGGCCACGCCCACCGCAGGAAUGCUGCAAAUGUCAGAACCGGGCAGAUGAUCCUCCCCAGCUUCCUGUCUCAGGGCCCUGGGCACUGUCUGGUGCCAGCUGCCCCCUCGACCCUGGAACCCGAACACAGAUCAGACUGCAGAGCCGACACUCAGCCACUUCCCCCGAGCAGGAACUCCACAGCUGCAUUUAUUUGGCACCGUCUUGGCAGGCCACAGGCAGAGCGGUUUCUGUGCUUGGCCUGCUGAUUCUUAUGACGGCCCUCUGAGUAAGUACUGCUCUUCAGACCCCACUUCACAGAGAGGAAACUGCGGCUCAGAGAGGGUGAGUCACUUGCCCAAGGUCACAGAGCUGGCUUGUGGCAGAGCUGGGACUUGAGUCAGGCCCAGGUGACUCAGGGAGAUGGCUGGUCCUCCCUGCUUUGUGCUGCCUCCUAAAUGCCCAGCCUGCUGCUCCACAGUAGGAGCAGCCCAGCUGUCCACCAGUGGUGAAAGGGACAGAUGCCCCGUGGUGUGUCCACCCGGUGGGCUCACCCAGCGAUGGAAUCUGAUGCGCUAUCUCUAUGGAGGUCUGUCACAGACAUGUUGGGAACAAAGAAGCUGGUCACUAAAAGUACCUGCUGCGAGGUUCUGUUGACCCGACAUCCAGGAAGAGGCCCAGCAAGCCCCGGCUCAGUGGGCAGAGGCUGGUGCCUUCUGAGAGUGUACACAGGCUGUCACAGGAGACCCCGGAGGACUGGGGAGGCUCCAGGCCAACCUGGGUGGCCAUCGUGCUAUGUGGGUCAGCCUGGCUGGCCAUGGGCUAACCAGAGGGCUGAGAAUCCUCGAUGGGUGUGUCGGAGAGGGUGUGGCUCACAAGACUGCCACCUGACCGUGGGCUGAGCUGAGCAGAGACCCUCCCCAUCCUCUCAAGCCCCAAGUGGAACAGAAAGUGUCACUUGUGACUGCCUGGGCCAGCCUGGACCUCCUCCUGCCCUCUGACCCUGCUCUCAGGCCUCGGGCCUCCACUGGCAUCCCCACCACAGGCCCUCCUGGGGCUGCAGCCUGCAGACAGCUGGUCCUGGGACUUCCCAGCCUCCAGAACCCAAGAGCAAUUCCUUACUGUCCAUGCGUCUGUCUCCCAUCAUGCUGCUUCUCUGGGGAGGUUGACUGCCAGCCGGGGCGCAUGGGUGCCCACAGACGCAAAACACACCUAGGCUCCUGCUCCAGGCGCCCUCGCAGCCCACCCACCGCCUCCGGCCUCACGACGUCUCUAUGUUCUGGACAAAAUGCUGAUUGUGUGUCUGACACAUUAACACCUUUCCCCCUUAAGAGCAAGGCAGAGGUAGAGCCGCCCACCUGCUAGAGUCUAGCUGGUCAGCCCUGUGCCGGCCACCCUGACCAUUGCAAUAAGACAAGAAAAAGGGAAGAAAGGUGUAAGUGAGCUCAGAAGUGAAGAAGGAAGCAUUAAGACUGGGCUUGUUACGAUGACUCACACAGAAAGUCCCGGGAAACCCACAAAGCAACCAGCAAGGUCACAGGAUACUCAAGAGGCGUCCAGACCCAUUCAUCUUCUCACACAAACAGCUGCAGAAUGAAAAACGUUGGGUGUCCCAUGCAGAGCCCCCCAAACCAAGAUCCAAUACUUGGGGACAGUCCAAUAAAAGUGUCGUGUUCACAGGUUGAACACUCAGUAUUAAGAUGGCCAUGGCUAGCUGAUCCUCAAUUUUAUUUAGACAUGUG